GUACUUACCUGGCAGGGAACCGUUGGUGAUCAGGAGGGCCGAGGUUCCAGGACGAGGCGAUCCCAUUGCGCUUUGGGUGUGCUGAAGCCUGUAAUAUCCCCAAACGCGGGAUGCUCGACUGCAUAAUUUGUCGUUGUGGGGGUCUGCGUUCCUGCUCCUUUUA